rnacentral:rRNA from 1 species
GAUGAACGCUGGCGGCGUGCCUAAUACAUGCAAGUCGAGCGAACGGACGAGAAGCUUGCUUCUCUGAUGUUAGCGGCGGACGGGUGAGUAACACGUGGAUAACCUACCUAUAAGACUGGGAUAACUUCGGGAAACCGGAGCUAAUACCGCAUAAUAUCUUUAACCGCAUGUUUCAAAAGUGAAAGACGGUCUUGCUUUCCCUUAUAGAUGUAUCCGCGCUUCAUUAGCUGUUUGGUAAGGUAACGGCUUACCAAGGCAACGAUGCAUAGCCGACCUGAGAGGGUGAUCGGCCACACUGGAACUGAGACACGGUCCAGACUCCUCCGGGAGGCAGCAGUAGGGAAUCUUCGGCAAUGGGCGAAAGCCUGACGGAGCAACGCCGCGUGAGCGAUGAAGGUCUUCGGAUCGUAAAACUCGGUUAUUAGGGAAGAACAUAUGUGUAAGUAAAUGUGCACAUCUUGACGGUACCUAAUCAGAAAGCCACGGCUAACUACGUG